CACGUAGGGCGCGAGCGUUGUCCGGAAUCAUUGGGCGUAAAGAGCGUGUAGGCGGCUUGCUAAGUCUUGCGUGAAAUCUCGGGGCUCAACCCCGAGCGGUCGUGGGAAACUGGCAGGCUAGAGUGCGGGAGAGGAGAAUGGAAUUCCUGGUGUAGCGGUGAAAUGCGCAGAUAUCAGGAAGAACACCCGUGGCGAAGGCGGUUCUCUGGAACGCAACUGACGCUGAGACGCGAAAGCGUGGGGAGCGAACAGG
rnacentral:rRNA from 1 species